rnacentral:rRNA from 1 species
UACGUAGGGUGCAAGCGUUGUCCGGAUUUACUGGGCGUAAAGAGCGCGCAGGCGGUCGAAUAAGUCGAAUGUGAAAGCCCCCGGCUCAACUGGGGAGGGUCAUUCGAUACUGUCCGACUUGAAGGCAGGAGAGAGAAGCAGAAUUCCCGGUGUAGUGGUGAAAUGCGUAGAUAUCGGGAGGAAUACCAGUGGCGAAGGCGGCUUCUUGGCCUGUUCUUGA